AGAGUUUGAUCAUGGCUCAGAAUCAACGCUGGCGGCGUGCCUAACACAUGCAAGUCGCACGAGAAAGUGGAGCAAUCCAUGAGUAAAGUGGCGCACGGGUGAGUAACACGUGACUAACCUACCUCUGAGUGGGGAAUAACUGAGAGAAAUCUUAGCUAAUACCGCAUAACACUUACGAGUCAAAGCAGUAAUGCGCUUGGAGAGGGGGUCGCGGCAGAUUAGUUAGUUGGCGGGGUAAUGGCCCACCAAGACGAUGAUCUGUAUCCGGCCUGAGAGGGCGCACGGACACACUGGAACCGAAACACGGUCCAGACUCCUACGGGAGGCAGCAGUGGGGAAUUUUGCGCAAUGGGGGAAACCCUGACGCAGCAACGCCGCGUGGAGGAUGAAAUAUCUUGGUAUGUAAACUCCUUUCGAUGGGGAAGAUUAUGACGGUACCCAUAGAAGAAGCCCCGGCUAACUUCGUGCCAGCAGCCGCGGUAAUACGAGGGGGGCAAGCGUUGUUCGGAUUUAUUGGGCGUAAAGGGUGCGUAGGCGGUUUGAUAAGUCUGAUGUGAAAUCUAUGGGCUCAACCCAUAGUCUGCAUUAGAAACUGUCGGGCUUGAGUAUGGGAGAGGUGAGUGGAAUUUCCGGUGUAGCGGUGAAAUGCGUAGAUAUCGGAAGGAACACCUGUGGCGAAAGCGGCUCACUGGACCAUAACUGACGCUGAUGCACGAAAGCUAGGGGAGCAAACAGGAUUAGAUACCCUAGUAGUCC
rnacentral:rRNA from 1 species